rnacentral:piRNA from 1 species
UACUUCUAAUGACUUACAUUGUUCUAGC